GGCCCGGAUGCUGGACAACAUGAGCCAGUCAAAAACAACAAAGGAAAUGGACGAUCCAGAGGACACAGCAGAGAAAGUGGGAAUCAGUGCACUAAUAGUUCAGGACUUCAAAGGUCCCCUGCAGUCAGACUAUAAGUUUGACUGGACAGGAUGCUGCAGGCUCAGGGAGACACAGGUGUCUUCCUCCAGUACACGCACACUC